CCCUACGGGGUGCAGCAGGCGGGAAAUUUACUCCGGAGUCCGCCUUUUCGCAGCUUGUCACCUAUCACUCGGUGCCUGAGGCGGCUCUGCGGGACACGCAAACGAAGACUGCGUUUGCCCGCGCGCUUGUUGAACAGAUGCGGUAUUUGAGGGGUGAGAGCUACAAUCUUUCCAAAAUUUCUUCAGUGGGUCUAUCCGGUCAUCUGUCGACAGCCAGAAGUACAGGGGGUGCAGGAAAAACCGGAGAUGAAAGAGGCGGGUCAGGAAAAUCAGGUGCUUCAGUAGGUUUCACAUCCAAUGUCCAACGUCAGACAAUAGUGUCCGAAGAAGUUGAUAUUCAGUUCCGGGAAGUAAUGAAAAUUCUGGACAGACAUGACAAAACUCCGGAUGGCGGGGGGGC
rnacentral:rRNA from 1 species